AUUGAUAGUUAGGCGUUUUUAUGCACUCAGCUUUCUUAUUGUAUACAGUUUCUGAUGAUCUCACCUGAUUGUAUUAUCAUGUUAUGCUUCAGUUUUCUUAAUUCCCGUUCAUUCUUCCAGUGAUUUUCAUAACAAAGAGCAAUCCUUGCUCCACUCCAUUAUAGUUUUGAUGGUGCCCAUUGUUACCUGUAGUGAACUUCCAAAUUUGUGAAUGUUACUCAACUUCUUUAACCUAAGUGAAGGCAGGUAUUUUUUACUGGUUUGAGGAGCUAAUUUCACGUAAUGAAUACAG